UGCUAAAUUUACCAACUGUAAUUUUCUUGUGUCUGAGCAGAUAAGCUCAAAAGAGUUUUGGUUUUAUAAACAAUAAUUAAUUUGGUGUUAAGAGAUGAAAAUUUUUUUCUGGUUACGAACUGCCACAACAUAGAUUUUUACUUUUGUGUGGAAUGUCUGUUUUAUGAUAAAUUUUCCACUAAACAACAAAAAAGGAAAGCGCUUUCACCUGUCUUCCAUAUUCACCAACUGCACAAUUCUUCUUAAGUAAAAUGAGCGUGUUUUCUGGGAACGAAGAAGGCAAUGCAUCAUCGUUAGGACUAGUGGUGGAGACCAGCGGCACACAAUGUCUACCUCUACAGAGAGAGCCAACAUGAAGAUGAGGACAGACCAAGUGAUAAGGAAGAAUCACUUGCUCUGGAGGAAGGAUGAGGAGCAUCAGCGGCAGGAAAGAAAGAGUUACAACAUACUUGUCGAAUGGGGUGGUAGAAAGGAUGGAAGGCAGUUGAUGGAGCAGAGACCUGCAGAGGAUCUCAACCCUUGGACGACUGUUUCCACUGGGAUUUUCCAAAGAAGUGAAUUUGUGCCCAGAGGCCAUGACGAGAAUUGCCCCACUUCCUGAGAAUACAAACAAAUGAAAGGAGAGUGAGCUGCUUUUCAGUCUUCAAAUUGGGCUUUUGAAAAGCAGACGACUACAGAGGAGGUCAAAAAUGGAGUGUAAGGCCAGAAAGGAUCACAAAGCGUCUCACUAACACAUGCAGGGAGCUGGAAGGAGGGCACAGCAGUAUAACUUGAAAAACAUUGUUUCAAGCUGAGGAUUCGAGACACAUGCAUUAAUUAUUUAGUCAAUAAUGCACUUAACCUUGACGUACAUUGGUGUG